rnacentral:rRNA from 1 species
UACAGAGGGUGCAAGCGUUAAUCGGAGUUACUGGGCGUAAAGGGCGCGUAGGCGGCUGGGGAAGUCGGCGGUGAAAGCCCGGAGCUCAACUCCGGGUCGGCCGUCGAGACUCCUCGGCUCGAGCUCACUAGAGGCAGAUGGAAUUCCGGGUGUAGCGGUGGAAUGCGUAGAUAUCGUAAGGAAGACCAGUGGCGAAGGCGGGUCUCUGGACAGUUCCUGACGCUGAGGCACGAAGGCCAGGGGAGCAAACGGG